GUAAACAAUGAACCCACUUCUUGACCACUUGAGCCAGGAGUUUAUGUCUCAUUCCCCACUUACAUUAUAGGCUACUGGGCAGGCUUUUCUGUUAUGAUUUCUUGGCUGGUAUCUACUUAAGAAAGGUCAUUUAGACCUUCUACUAUUAUAGAAGCUCCCUAAAAUAUAAACAUAUAUGAACGGGAUCUAAAUGGAGUCACCAAAUAAUAGGGGUGAAGAUGUCCCAACUAGACAGACAUCCUAUGCCACCAGAAAAAGCUUCCAAUGUUAAGAAUAGGUUAUAUCUUGUUGAGCUAUUGGCACAAUGGGGAACCAUUUAACCCAUAAACAUCAUAGGCCUUUGCCAAUGCUACUGGCUGUUCUCUACAAUCUGGUGGCAAGGUAUUGCUGAAGACAUCACUUACAUAUGUUGAACACAGAAUAGUUAAGCAGUUACCUAACUAGACGCUUCACCCUACUGACUAAUGUUUAUAGUACUGGAAAGUACUCUGAAUGCUUCUAGAGGUAAAAAGUAAUCAUCAAUGUCUCCCAGCUACAAAUACUGUAACCUAAAACAGGGUCCUGCCUUCAAGACAUGCUGUGUACUAGUGGUAUAAACAUUAUGGAAGAAACCAAUCCCUCUCUGCUUGAAUUUAAGGUCCACUCCAUGAGAUGGAAGCCAUAUCUGACACUGCAAAAGUGGCCAAGAACCUGAAAUUUGUCAUAGUUCUAGGGAAAAAAACUACUACUAUUAGGCUCCUAAAAUGAGCUUAGUCACAAAAUGACUUCUAAAUAACAGUUUUAUACAUAGUGGUCAGUGCCUUGCCUGGCCUUUAUUAGAGAAACUUACAGUACAUGGGGAUUUAACCCAAAGUCUCAUAACUGGACAAUGUGCCAAGAGUGAGACAGCUUUUGGAGCACUCAGUCCUAAGAGGGAUGUCCUUGUUAAACCCAUCCAGUCAAGGAUCAGGGAACUGUGUGGAAGAGCAGAUGGAAAGACUCUACGAGCCAGAGAUGAUGUGACUCCAGAAACUGGUGUGUUCUAGGCAUAAGACUGAUGCGCACAUGAUUUUACAGAGAGACUUUUUGUGUACAAGGCCUGCACAGUUUGAAGCCAGACAGUGUCCCAGCACGGAGAGGAAAAAGUGGAUAAAGCCCCCCUGCCCUAACCAAGAAGCUGUCUGCAAUUGAAGACUAAAUGAGGUCUCAUGUAUCUGUGAAAGAACUGGCCCUUUGAAAGAUCCUGUGCAGUUAACAAAGAUGGCAGGAUCUAAAUUCAGUAAGAAGAAUUAUAAAGGAAACUUCAAAUACAAAACAGCAAGUCACAAAUGGAACCGUCUAGGUUACCUUCAAGUGGCAGCCCGACAAUGAUACAUUUUCCCCUUCUUGUGGAUCCAUGUCUGUGCAAACAUAAUAUAUUCUGUAGGGAAGGAUACUAUGUUCCAGACAUUCACUCUUAUACCAGAAUUGAAGACAAAUUAAUUGAGCCCCUGGAAGCUUCAACAGAGUUCAGAGGGGAAGGAUGAAAGAUGGACUUGUCUGACAAUGCUUCAUUGGUUAAAGUAUGAUGGAAUGAACUGUAAUGUCACAAGAGAACCAUCUACUGAAGUUCAAGGUACUCUGCUCAUUUCCUGAGACCAAGAACAUGGAAACGAGGGGAGCUCAUAUUGCCAAUGGUGCCUUUCUUGUUGUUAGUGGCAAAUAGAAUUUUGGGAUCAAGAUUAGAUUAGAUUUCAGAAAUUUAAAAGGAAUGCAUCUUGUACCUCACACCCAACACUGAAUAGGUCAUUUCUAUCAAGCAAUAUGAGUACAUUACUUUAUGUUUUCUCAGUUCUUAAAACUGCGUGGAUAGCUUGAGAAGAGAUGGAUGCUGAAUUUUAAUUGCUUUUGAAACUAUUCCUGCUAUGCUGAGUAGAACUCCAUUACAUACCUGUUGGCUGAGCAGGUGAAAUGAGAGGAACUCAGAGACGUAAACCGGUGUCAUUGCACACAUGUGACUUUCAGACCUGCUUUCACAGGAUUGAAGACUCUAUGAUUCGGUUCUCCUAAGGGAUGAAAGAGUACACAUUCAUUUAUAAGGAUAACUUUGGUUUUAUGACAUUGAAGUCACUGUUAAUACAGAGAAAUUAUAUGGCCUUGUGGAGAAUGUUAUCAUCAUAAAGGAAUGUGUUCCUUAACUGAGGCUGCCUUUUUGCUUGUGUGUAUAAAUAUGUUGUGCUGUGUGUGUGAAAGAGAGAUGUUAGUAAAUUUCAAGCCUGUAAUUCACAAUUCAUUAAAAAGGUAUUUAUCCUCAUUUUGAUUUUACUACAUUUUCAUUUUAUGAUAUUGCUUCCAAUUAAGGGAAGAUUUUUAAAUUUCAUAUUUUCACAUAUUUAGAUUUUCAGCAUUUUGUUACUGGGUGUACUAUAGGAGGGCUAUACACACCACUUAAUUAAUAUCACCUCAGAUUAUUACUAUCUUUGGAUAAUAGUCUCAGUAAGUAUCCUACAUGCUUUUCAGAUUUCUCUUGAAAAGAAUGCAAUUCAAUGUUUGUUUGCCAGGGCUCAAUAGCUCGUUGAUUACAAGGAAGUUAGCUAUCGCUUCCCUUUCAACUAGUACUUAUGCUACCAAAUUAUUGUGAUAAUAAGUCAAAUAAUUAAAGUUACUUGUGACUUACUGUAGUUUUUUUGAGACAGGGUCUUACUAUGUAGCUGGGCUGGUUUGUAACACCCUGUGUGGACCAGACUGCCUAAAACUCAGAGAUUCUCCUGCUUCUACCUUCUAAGGGAUGAGGUUAAAGGCAUGCCCCACUACACCUGACUACUUGUGUUUUCAAAAGUGUAUCCGCCUACCUUUUCUCUAUUAGUGAAAGAAUAUGGAUUUAAUUAAUUCAGUGCAUUUGGAGGGAUAGGGAAAGAUAUGUCUUAGUCUUAGUGGUUUUGGAUAUUGUGUAACCUAACAUCCCAACAGUGACUUCAUAUUUGUUUCUAAAAUAUAUGGCAGCAAUGUAUCAUCUGUGUUCUCGAACUGCCUGGAAGCCUAUCUCACAAGUGAAUUCCUUUCAAUUAGGGAUAGGAGCCCAGUGCUCAACACUUAUGUAUGGUGAUUAAUGCAUAAGGCAGCGUUCAAGCUCUUUCAGAGAAUGUAUUUGAAAUAAGCAGCUUGAUUUUCUAUCAUAUUUAGCUCAUUAAAAAAUAUACCUAAUGAAAAUACUCUGCCUGCUGCAAGACAGGACUGUAGAUGGUUUUCUUAGUUAAUCUUCUAUUACUCAUAGUGUGCGGACAGUCCUAAUGAUUCCAUUAGAGUUUAAAUAACAGAAUUCAGCACAAAUACAUGUUUUUACCGAACAGGAGAAGCAUCAUUUCUCUGCGACUGCAGCUGCUGUAGUUGGAGAUGAGGCCUUACUAUCCCUUGGGGAGAUUACUGUCUCUGCCAGCUGACUUAGUUUUUAUACAGCCAGCGAUUUAUUAGAUUGCUUUGCUCUUAAGUGUGAUAAUAGGCCUUAUGCUUAGUAUGGUUCAGAGACUUCCAGUGCAUUAAUAUUUUAUGGCAAUGACAGGCAAGACACAUUUUGUUUACCUAACAAGACAAGUCAAGCCAGUGCUGAUAUGUACCAGAGAUUAGCGCUUUUAACUUACAGGAGCCCUGCCAAUUAUAUAUUUAGGACUUUGCAAAGGCUCUUGUGAUUGUGAUUCAAUCAGUUUCUUAUUUUUCUCAUAGCCACUGUGAGCAAAAGAAGUCAUCACAGCCUCACAGUCUGGCCCCUAGUAUUCAUUGACUAAUGUCAGCUAUAUAACGACAAGUAGCUUUUUUUUUCCCAUUAAAGAUUGUGUUAUACUUGGAAAUCACUCAACCAUGUGCUAAGGCUUAGAUGGAUGAAUGUGCCUUUCAUUUCAUUCAGAAGACAGUCUCGAUUCAUUUAAAUUACCCAUUAGGAGAAAUUGUGUGUGUCGUACUGCUCUUGUUUUCUGGAAUUUUGUUGUUUCCCAGGUCUCUAGAGAAUACAGAUACAAAUAAAACAUCAAAGAUAAAAAAAAAAUGUUGGAAUGGACACAAGAGUUCCUGAUGGACCACUUUGGCUCUCUCAUUAACAAGGUCAUCAACUUCUUUUAUUGAACAGGAAUCAUAUCUCACUGAAUAGGAAAGAUUUCAUGCAACACUUUCUGAUUGCAAACCCUGUGGAAGAAAAACCCUGUGGUGAUGAAAGAAGGGAACGGAGAUCGAGCUGAGCUUCAUCCACCAGGAAAUACAGCAAGAACCGAGUAGCGAGGUACGGCCAUGUGCUGUGCCCAAGCAUAACAGUGUGGCUAUGUCCUCUGCUUUAUUAAUGUGUUCAAACAAUAUUUUUUCUGUCUUGCUUUUCUCCCCAAGGCUCUAAGGUUCUCUGAGCCUGAGAGAAAGCUCAAAAUACCACAUUGUUGGGAAAGAGCUGACUCUGGCUUUCUUCAGGGAAUUUAGAGACUCAGUGAUUUGGAGAAAAUUGCAUGGCUGGUGAUUGGCUGUGCCUCUGUUUUUAUAAGUGAUUAAAAAGAAAACCACUUCAAUAAUCCUCAGACCCUUGCUCUCUGACUGGGAGCUCCUCCAACUAGGCCUCGUUGGCGGAGCCCUUGGGAGGAGGAACACACAUGAACUGUGGGCCAAAAAAUUAGAAAAAGCAACAACGACAUUGGAACCAGAAACAUCAAUGUGGGCCAGAAUUCAAGGGCAAUAACUUUUUUUUUUCCCAAUUGGUUAGAGCCUCAUAUUCAAGACACCCUUUCAGUUUGUACAUCAUGAAUACCUAGCUUUCUGGGGCUUCAGCAAACCUUGUAGCAUUCACGUUAUGUACGCUCGCUUUGAAAAUGGAGGCAGCCUGGCUCUGCCUGAUUGGUAGAAAGCACAGCAAUAACGGAAGAGUGAGGAAGGCUCGACAGCAUAGGAUUUCCAGAGCAACGGUGCUGAGUUGUAGGGAAGUGAGGAUAUGGUUCCACUCAGGGUGAGCGCCCGUAAGUGAAUUUUAAUUUUAAUUUCCCAAAUAAGUACGUAUUAUAGUUCUUACAUAAUAAAAAUUUAGAUUCAUAUAGUUUUCUCACAUUAAUUUGUAAUCAUUUCAAUGAAGCAGCAAUGGACGGGUUAUUAAAUCAAAAUCAAUCACCUGUAAGUGGGGAAGGUGGCUUCAACCAUCUUUAGAAGCUUGGGUGCCCAUGAUAGAGGACUCAUUCCUCUAGCUCUUGGCCAGAUUUCUUUGUUUAUGAUCUCGAGUAGACAGCUUUCUUGACCCUCUUUCUUUCCCAGAAUGAUUCUCCCUCUCAGCAACUGUCCACUGCCAACAGUCCCUCAUGAUGUGGCAGGGCCUGUAGAUCAUCUAUCCCACUGAUGUUUGGGAUUUUGUUAGCUCUUAAGCAGCUAACCACCAAUGCUGUGAGCUCACGAGUACAAUUGGUAUGUCAAAGCCAGAAGACAAAAUCUCACAGGAUCCUCCCACCCUCUGGUUCUUAUGUUCUUUCUGCAGUUCCUUGAGCACUGGUGGUGGUGAGGUUCAUGAAGUUGCUCCAUUUAGAGCUAUGCACUCAUUUUUUUUUUAAAAUUCUCCAUGCUUUGGCUAAUAACACGUCUCUUCAUUGACUGCACUGAGAGAGAGAGAGAGAGAGAGAGAGAGAGAGAGAGAGAGAGAGAGAGAGAGAGACUGACUCUAAAGAAGCUUCUCGACAAAGAUUGAGAACAUCCCAGAUCUAUGGUUCUAUGCACAAAUAUUUUGAGGGAUAUUUGAUAGGAUGAUCAUUUGAGAAUCUAUGCAAAAUAUUUUAAUACAAUAUCUGCAACAUAGAGAGUAUUUAAUAAAAUUACUGUUACGGUUAGGACAUGGAAACUGCCUUAUGUAUUUUUGUAGGAUUUUUUAAUUUUUUUUUUUGAAGAGAAGGAGAACUGAACGUAGGGGCUGAAGAGAUAGUUCAGUGGUCGAGAGCACUGGCUGCUCUUUCAGAGGAUCAGGUUUCAAUUACCAGCAUUCACAUGUCAGUUCACAAUGGUCUAUAACUCCGUCUCUAGGGGAUCUGAUGCCAUCACACAGACAUAUGUGCAGGCAAAACACCAAUGUGCAGACAAUAAAAAUAAACAAAUCAUUUGGAGGGACACACGGUGAGGGAGAAGAAAAAGAGAUGGGGAAAAGCUAGUACUUAUGAAAUGGGUUGAGUUUUGAUCAUUUCCUCUAUAUCCUAUUUUACUUCAGAGGCAGAUAUCAAAAUUGCUGAGCCAUUUUAUAAACUGAGAUGGGAAGACUGAUUGUAGCAUGGUUUUCUUUCUAUAAAUCAUUAAAAUCCCAGGCAGUUGUCCAUCCUAGAGUCCUACUGGCUUUAUUGUGCUUGAGAACUAGAGUCCUUUUAUUUUGUUUUUGGCCAUAGAGAUGCAAAAAAAAACUGUAAAGAAGAUCAGUUAAGGUGCUCUGCAUGUGUAGAACCAGUUCAUUUAAUAAAGACGUCUUAGGCUGCCUUAAACCUUCAGUGCAUUGCUAUUUGGUUUUUAUUGAUAAUAUCUUGGUGAAAAGAAAAUCCAGCAGUAAUUACAUGAAUUCUUUUCCUAAAACUUGCUACUUUGUUUUAUUCUGUUAACUACUUAAUUCUACGUGCAUUUAUGUAAUGGUCAAAACAUAGAAAUAAUUAGUCUAAAUGUGUUUUAUACUCGACAGAAACCACUUGAACUCUAAAAGAUCUAAAUAUUUAACGAGCUUUUUGAAAACCACAAUUACAGCUUUUUAUAGAAAAGAAACUUUACCUCGGAGACCUGAAAAAAAUACCUAUUUACUGUAUCGAGAAAGGCUUUUUUACAUUUUUAACAUACAAUUUAAUAAGAAUUAUACCAUUCCACUCUUACAACCCAUAACUUGAGAAGAAUAACAGAGAAAGUCAUGCAGGAAAAUAUUUUUGAAGGGUAACACCCAUUUAAUUUUUAGGAAGAGGUCCAAAGUAUACAGAAGGCAGAAAUCUUACUCAGACCGUUUUAGUUUAUUGACUUUUCUGUGCCUUGGAAAUCAUAGCCUUAUUCUCCAGAGACACCCACUGGGAUGUAUUACAUCAUAAAGUACACCACGGAUGGUAACCUGUGUUAUUAAACUGUCAACAUACAUUAUAAUACAAUUUGUCCUCGGUCCAAGGCAACUAAAAGGCACAUUGUUGGCAGGAAGUUUAAAACAUAAGACUCUAUGGUAAUCAUCUAAAGCCCGCGGUACGUUGGGGGAAAAGGCUGUAAUGGUCGCUCUGCUUCUCCCAAGCAGCGCUUACGAAUUUCAUUGGAUUUGUACAGCUUUUACAAGGAGGGCUUCAGAAGGAUUACCCCUUAAAGGCCUUUUGCUAAGUAUCCUGGAGACGUCUCGUUCCACAGCAUAUUAAUAAUGGUUUUGUGUAAUAUCAGGGAGAAACAAAUCUGGAGAGCUGGAAUUGAAAUCAUGUUUAAUUUCCCCACAGAUAUUUAACAUGAUUUCUGACAUGGUAGUAUCUAGGACAAUAUUACCUUCACAAUGAUGGGAAGUCAGUGCCAGUUUUUAAAUCUAGCUUGAUGGUAGGCAAUUCCACAGGAGCUGGGACAAGGGUAGGUGCUGACAGAUAUUUUUCUGGAACACUUUGCUUUCGAAGGACAGAAGUACCAGGCGGUGGUGGUGGCGGCAGCGGCCGCAGCACAGCACGAGCCUUUAAUCCCAAGACUUGAGAAGCAGAGGCAGAUGGAUCGCUGAGUUCAAAACCAGCCUGCCCUAUAGACCUAGUUUUAGGACAGCCAGGGAUACACAAAGAAACCCUGUCUCAAACCAAACAAACAAAACAAGCAAAAGCAAAUAAAGAACUUCAUUUAAAAAAAAAGAAGAGAAGAUGCAGCGAAGUGACCUCAAAUGAAGAAUUAGCCAAUGGAGGGGAAAGUUCCUGGCUAGAGGGAGUAAGAGCUUUGUCCUCAUAUAUGACCUCUGUCGGCUCAGCAAUUCUCAGGUGCUUAACCUGGAAGUUUUCAAGGUUGGAAUUAAAAAAGGCAUUCAUCAGUAGAACACGCUAUUUGUUGUUGUUGUUGUUUAAAAUACCAUUUUGGAGGGGAAUAGGUGAGCACUGAAACAGACAAGACUUUCUGUAGCCUGGGCCAUGUCUGUCCGGUGUAGGAAGACUGCCAGCACAUGUGCUCUCUCGGGCCAUUUGAAAGCAUCAGGUUACUUACAAAAGAGAUGCCCCAUCUCUGAUGUGAGGCUGUCUAAUAACAAGAACUUCUGUGUCAUAUGAAACUUGAUAAUAAAAACAUCGAUUUGCAUAAUUAAACCGAAAGGAAACCCUAUCUGGGAGAGGGCAAAUGGUCCCUGGGUGUUCCCGUGUGGUUUUCUGCAAAUCCUCCAUUUUUGUGCAUCUCCAUUCUGAGUGCUUCAUGAGAGCAGAGCGAUCUUCCUCAAAUACAAAUCUAGUAAAGUCUGUAUUCUCUUGUGGCUUUUCCCUUGCAAAUGGAAAUUCAUAAAAUAGUUUAUAGACAUUGCAUAAUCAGCGUUCUGCUGGUGGAUCUAAUUUCAUUUCAUUUUAAACCACCAAUGCCUUGCUCUCUUUUUUACUUAAUUUUUCAUUUUUAUUGGUUAUUUUUUUAUUUACAUUUCAAGUGUUAUCCCCCUUCCCCUCUACAAACCCCUAUCCCAUCCCCUCUCCCUUGCCUCUAUGAAGGUGCUCCCCCACCCACCUACUCACUCCAGCCUCAGCACUCUAGCAUUCCCCUACAUUGGGUCAUCCAGCCUCCACAGGACGGAGGACCUCCCCUCCAAUAUGCCUGAUAAGGCCAUCCUCUGCUACAUAUCCAUCUGGAGUCAUGGUCCCUUCAUGUGAAUUCUUUGGUUGGUGGUUUAGUCCCUGGGAGCUUUGGCUGGAGGGUGUCUGGUUAGUUGAUAUUGUUGUUCUUCCUGUGGGGUUGCAAAUCCCGUCAGCUUCUUUAGUCCUUUGCUCUAACCCCUCCAUUGGGGUCCCCACACUCAGUCUGAUGUUCAGCUAUGUGCAUCCACAUCUGCAUUGGUCAGGUUCUGGCAGGUUCAGGGGACAGCUAUACCAGGCUCCUGUCAGCAAGUGC